rnacentral:rRNA from 1 species
UACGGAGGGUGCAAGCGUUGUUCGGAAUUACUGGGCGUAAAGCGUGUGUAGGCGGUGUCUGUAAGUCGGGUGUGAAAGCCCUGGGCUCAACCCAGGAAAUGCGCCCGAUACUGCAGCACUAGAGUCUGGGAGAGGGAUGUGGAAUUCCUGGUGUAGGGGUGAAAUCCGUAGAGAUCAGGAGGAACACUCGUGGCGAAGGCGACAUCCUGGACCAUGACUGACGCUGAGACACGAAAGCGUGGGGAGCAAACAGG